rnacentral:rRNA from 1 species
UACGGGGGGUGCGAGCGUUGUCCGGAAUCACUGGGCGUAAAGGGCGCGUAGGUGGUCUGAUAAGGGUGUGGUGAAAGCCCGGGGCUCAACCCCGGAUCUGCCGUGCCGACUGUCAAACUCGAGGACUGUAGAGGCAGACGGAAUUCCGGGUGUAGCGGUGGAAUGCGUAGAGAUCCGGAGGAAGACCGGUGGCGAAGGCGGUCUGCUGGGCAGUUUCUGACACUGAGGCGCGACAGCGUGGGGAGCAAACAGG